AGCUAUUUCAAUAAGCUGAUACAUGGUUGAACGUCAUUGGCUCUUACCAGUCUGUUGCCAUGUGUACUUCGUCCACAGCAAUCCCAACAAUUGCCCAAAACGUCCCGGUUAGAGAGGAAAUUCCUUUCUUUGUAAAUC